CGCGGCCUAUCAGCUUGUUGGUGAGGUAACGGCUCACCAAGGCAGAGACGGGUAGCUGGUCUGAGAGGACGAUCAGCCACACUGGGACUGAAACACGGCCCAGACUCCUACGGGAGGCAGCAGCAGGGAAUAUUGCACAAUGGGCGAAAGCCUGAUGCAGCGACACCGCGUGCGGGAUGAAGGCCUUCGGGUUGUAAACCGCUUUCAGGAGGGACGAAAAUGACGGUACCUCCAGAAGAAGGCCCGGCCAACUACGUGCCAGCAGCCGCGGUAAUACGUAGGGGCCAAACGUUGUCCGGAUUUAUUGGGCGUAAAGGGCUCGUAGGCGGUUCGACAAGUCGGCCGUGAAAACCCGGGGCUUAACCCCGGGACGCCGGUCGAAACUGUCGUGACUAGGGUCCGGUAGAGGUGAGUGGAAUUCUCGGUGUAGCGGUGAAAUGCGCAGAUAUCGAGAGGAACACCAGUAGCGAAGGCGGCUCACUGGGCCGGUACCGACGCUGAGGAGCGAAAGCGUGGGGAGCAAACAGGAUUAGAUACCCUGGUAGUCCACGCCGUAAACGUUGAACACUAGGUGUGGCGGAUUUAUCAAUGUCUGCCGUGCCGCAGCUAACGCAUUAAGUGCCCCGCCUGGGGAGUACGG
rnacentral:rRNA from 1 species